UUUUCAUACAGCCUGCUUGGAAUGUAUCUGAUUUGAAAUCAUAGAUGAAUUGAAUUCUAUUCCUUGCUUUGGAAUAGAAAAAAAAACAUGAAGUUGAAUUCAGGUGAGAAUUCCAAUUCUCAUUUUACCCCCAUUUACAAAUCAGACUUACUUUGGUCUGAUUUCAAAAUCAAUUCUCACCUAAAUUUUACUUAAACUGUGCAAUAUCAAAAAUACCUCUGUCCAAAUUAUAAAAGUUGCCGCAAACUGAGAUAAAUUCCUUUUGCAUCUUCUUAUUCUUCUUCGUUUUCUUCUUCUCAUUACCAUUCAACAUUGAGCUUUCAGCAUGAGCAUGUCCACAACCCUCACUUUGGAACCACUCUCCGGCUUCAACACACACAGAGGCAUCCCCAUUUCCAUUAUUCACCGCUCUUUAAGGCCCAAGACAUUGUUAUUCCCUCCACCUUCUUCUCUCUCUUCUUCCACCAUCAUCAAGAGUUCCUCUUGGUCUUGGUCGGUAUCCUACAAGCUCCACGCUCCAAAGUUUGAAGCUUUUGCCGCAAACACUGACACCCUCGAGCCCCUUCAAUCCUCUGAUGUAUUAUUCAGCAAGAUUUUUCCCAUCAACAUAACUGAAUUGUUGGAGGGAAAGAUCUUUGUUAGAUUGGAUCAGGGGAAAGACUUGAGAAAUUGGGAGCUAACUGUAGGUUGCAAUCUACCUAGGAAAUGGAUUCUUCAUUGGGGAGUUUCCCACUUAGAUGAUGUUGGAAGUGAAUGAGAUCAGCCUCCUCGUGAUAUGAUACCCCUAGGAUCUGUUCCUAUAAAGGACUAUGCAAUUGAGACACCUUUGAAGAAAUCAACGUCAUCUUCUGAAGGAGAUAAUUUUCAUGAGGUCAAGAUUGAUCUUACAUCCAACAGUGUAAUCUCCGCAAUUAAUUUUAUUCUCAAGGAUGAGGAAACUGGUGCUUGGUUUCAACACAAAGGAAGAGAUUUCAAGGUUCCUCUAGUCAGCUACCUGAAGGAGGAUGCUAAUAUAAUUGGACCUAAAAAGGGCUUUAGUUUUUGGCCAGGUACAUCAAAAUUAUUAAGCAUUGUGUAUUUUUUUUCAAUUUUUUAUUUCAUUUUAUUGCUGCUUCAAUAUAUGUAUAUGCUAUUUCAUCUAUUGCUCUUUGUUCCUUUAGUGAGUGUCAACUGUCACAUAGAUGAUAGUACAAUGAUACUCUAUAGGUCAUGGUUCUAAUAGGUCAUCUCCUAUGUAUUUAAGUAUUUUAAAUCAAACACUUUCUCAUAAGAUGC